rnacentral:rRNA from 1 species
UACGAAGGGGGCUAGCGUUGCUCGGAAUUACUGGGCGUAAAGCGCACGUAGGCGGUCUUUUAAGUCGGUGGUGAAAUCCUGGAGCUCAACUCCAGAACUGCCUUCGAUACUGGAAGACUUGAGUCCGGGAGAGGUGAGUGGAACUGCGAGUGUAGAGGUGAAAUUCGUAGAUAUUCGCAAGAACACCAGUGGCGAAGGCGGCUCACUGGUCCGGUACUGACGCUGAGGUGCGAAAGCGUGGGGAGCAAACAGG